GGAUGAACGCUAGCGGCAGGCUUAACACAUGCAAGUCGAACGGUAACAGAUCUAGCUUGCUAGAUGCUGACGAGUGGCGCACGGGUGCGUAACGCGUAUGCAACUUACCUCUAACAGGGGGGUAGCCCAGAGAAAUUUGGAUUAAUACCUCAUAGUAUUAUAUUAAGGCAUCUCUUUGUUCUUAAAGCUUCGGCGGUUUGGGAUGGGCAUGCGUUCUAUUAGUUAGUUGGUGAGGUAACGGCUCACCAAGACCACGAUAGAUAGGGGGCCUGAGAGGGUUAUCCCCCACACUGGCACUGAGACACGGACCAGAUUCCUACGGGAGGCAGCAGUGAGGAAUAUUGCACAAUGGACGAAAGUCUGAUGCAGCCAUGCCGCGUGCAGGAUGAAUGCCCUACGGGUUGUAAACUGCUUUUAUACAGGAAGAAACCCCCGAACGUGUUCGGGGCUGACGGUACUGUAAGAAUAAGGACCGGCUAACUCCGUGCCAGCAGCCGCGGUAAUACGGAGGGUCCAAGCGUUAUCCGGAUUUAUUGGGUUUAAAGGGUCCGUAGGCGGGAAAAUAAGUCAGUGGUGAAAGCCUGCAGCUCAACUGCAGAACUGCCUUUGAUACUGGUUGACUUGAGUCAUAUGGAAGUAGAUAGAAUGUGUAGUGUAGCGGUGAAAUGCAUAGAUAUUACACAGAAUACCGAUUGCGAAGGCAGUCUACUACGUAUGUACUGACGCUGAGGGACGAAAGCGUGGGGAGCGAACAGGAUUAGAUACCCUGGUAGUCCACGCCGUAAACGAUGGAUACUAGUUGUUGGGCAUUUGGGCAUUAGCUCAGUGACUAAGCGAAAGUGAUAAGUAUCCCACCUGGGGAGUACGGUCGCAAGACUGAAACUCAAAGGAAUUGACGGGGGCCCGCACAAGCGGUGGAGCAUGUGGUUUAAUUCGAUCAUACGCGAGGAACCUUACCAGGGCUUAAAUGUAGUCUGACAGCUUUAGAGAUAGAGUUUUCUUCGGACAGAUUACAAGGUGCUGCAUGGUUGUCGUCAGCUCGUGCCGUGAGGUGUCAGGUUAAGUCCUAUAACGAGCGCAACCCCUAUCUUUAGUUGCCAGCGAGUAAUGUCGGGGACUCUAAAGAAACUGCCGGUGCAAACCGUGAGGAAGGUGGGGAUGACGUCAAAUCAUCACGGCCCUUACGUCCUGGGCCACACACGUGCUACAAUGGCGAGUACAAAGGGCAGCCAUCUGGCAAGAAGGCGCGAAUCUAUUAAAACCGGUCUCAGUUCGGAUCGGAGUCUGCAACGCGACUCCGUGAAGCUGGAAUCGCUAGUAAUCGCAUAUCAGCCAUGAUGCGGUGAAUACGUUCCCGGGCCUUGUACACACC
rnacentral:rRNA from 1 species